rnacentral:rRNA from 1 species
UUGACCUCGGAUCAGGUAGGAAUACCCGCUGAACUUAAGCAUAUCAAUAAGCGGAGGAAAAGAAACCAACAGGGAUUGCCCUAGUAACGGCGAGUGAAGCGGCAACAGCUCAAAUUUGAAAUCUGGCUCUCGGGCCCGAGUUGUAAUUUGUAGAGGAUACUUUUGAUGCGGUGCCUUCCGAGUUCCCUGGAACGGGACGCCAUAGAGGGUGAGAGCCCCGUCUGGUUGGAUGCCAAAUCUCUGUAAAGUUCCUUCGACGAGUCGAGUAGUUUGGGAAUGCUGCUCUAAAUGGGAGGUAUAUGUCUUCUAAAGCUAAAUACCGGCCAGAGACCGAUAGCGCACAAGUAGAGUGAUCGAAAGAUGAAAAGCACUUUGAAAAGAGAGUUAAAAAGUACGUGAAAUUGUUGAAAGGGAAGCGUUUAUGACCAGACUUGGGCUUGGUUAAUCAUCUGGGGUUCUCCCCAGUGCACUUUUCCAGUCCAGGCCAGCAUCAGUUUUC